CUCAGGAUUAACGCUGGCGGCGUGCCUAACACAUGCAAGUCGAACGGAAUAUCUUCGGAUAUUAGUGGCGAACGGGUGAGUAAAGUACAGGUAAUGUACCUCCGUACUGCGAAUAACAAGCUGAAAAGUUUGCUAAUACGGAAUAGUUUCUUCGAGAGGCAUCUUUUGAAGAAUAAAGAUUUAUCGUGCGGAGAUCAGCCUGUAUCCUAUUAGUUAGUUGGUGGGGUAAUGGCCUACCAAGACGACGAUGGGUAACUGGUCUGAGAGGAUGAGCAGUCACAUUGGAACUGAGAUACGGUCCAAACUCCUACGGGAGGCAGCAGUGAGGAAUUUUGCGCAAUGGGGGAAACCCUGACGCAGCCAACGCCGCGUGAGUGAUGACGGCCUUCGGGUUGUAAAGCUCUGUCGUGUGUGACGAGUAGGGACGGUAACACACAAGGAAGCCUCGGCUAACUACGUGCCAGCAGCCGC
rnacentral:rRNA from 1 species